UAACGGCUUACCAAGGCGAUGAUGCAUAGCCGAGUUGAGAGACUGAUCGGCCACAUUGGGACUGAGACACGGACCCAAACUCCUACGGGAGGCAGCAGGUAGGAAUUUUCCACAAUGGACGCAAGUCUGAUGGAGCAACGCCGCGUGAGUGAAGAAGGUUUUCGGAUCGUAAAGCUCUGUUGUUGGUGAAGAAGGAUAGAGGUAGUAACUGGCCUUUAUUUGACGGUAAUCAACCAGAAAGUCACGGGCUAACUACGUGCCAGCAGCCGCGGUAAAU
rnacentral:rRNA from 1 species